GACUGAUCUCAGGUGAUAUUCAUGCUCAGGUGAGACUGAUCUCAGGUGAGACUGAUCUCAGGUGACAUUCAUGCUCAGGAAAUAUUAACGCUCAGGUGGUAUUAAUGCUCAGGUGAGACUGAUCUCAGGUGGUAUUAAUGCUCAGGUGAGACUGAUCCCCAGGGGACUCAGGUCAUAUCAAAGCCCAGGUGACUGUGGGAA